CCCUUAGACGUUCUGGGCCGCACGCGCGCUACACUGACGAAGGCAACGAGCUUUCCUUUACCGAAAGGUACGGGUAAUCUUUUGAAACUUCGUCGUGCUGGGGAUAGAUCCUUGCAAUUUUUGAUCUUAAACGAGGAAUGCCUAGUAAGCGCAAGUCAUCAACUUGCGUUGAUUACGUCCCUGCCCUUUGUACACACCGCCCGUCGCUACUACCGAUUGAAUGGUUUAGUGAGGCCUUCGGAUCCGCGACUCGUUUUGUGGAGAAGUUGGACAAACUCAGUCAUUUAGAGGAAGUAAAAUUCGUAACA
rnacentral:rRNA from 1 species